rnacentral:lncRNA from 1 species
CCGGAUGAAUAUGAACCUAUGGUUGUCCAAGUUCACAUUGAACCUGAACAACUGUAUGUCCAGAUUCAAUGUUAACUCCAUUUCCAAUCUAAUGCAUAAGCAAAACGGUGGUAUAAAAUCAACAUUACGCCUUGUAUAAUGCAUUGCCUUGAUAAUACAUGCACUGUCACACGUCACAUACAACUCUACCCUUAAAUGAAGGUCCAAUUUAGAGAAGUAACACCAUAUUGAUCCAAGAUGAUGCUCGGGUGCUUAAAGCGAAGUAUUAUCCUCAAUCAGAUUUUAUGCAAGCAAAUUUAAAGCAUGGUGCUUCGUACACUUGGACAAGCAUUUGGUCAGCUCAAAAAGUGUUAGAAGACGGGGUGUGUUGGCGAGUUCGAUGGGGUGAUAAAGUUUCAAUUUGUAAUCAUGCUUGGUUACCGAGUUUGAUUAAUUAUAAAUUAAGCAACGCAGUUCGAAACCUUGAUGUUUCUAUAUUUGCCGAUCUAAUUAAGAGAACUUUUAGUGAGUGGAAAAGAGAGAUUAUUACCAAUACCUUUGCAGAUGUUGAUGUGGCCAGGAUACUUCUAAUCCCGCUGGCAGCGAAUCCUCAGCAGGACGUGAUGGUGUAGGGAGGUGAGUCCUCAGGAGAGUUCUCCGUUAGGAGUGCUUACAAAUUUUUACAGACAAGUAUUCCUAUUCCUAUCCUAGAUGAAUUACAAAAUGCAUCUAGAGAAUUUUACAAGCAACUUUGGGGCUUAAACCUACCAUCUAAAAUCAAGAUUACAAUAUGGCGUAUUUCAAAAAAUUCUUCCCUAUGCUAUCAAAUAUGCAUAACAAAAGACUAGUUGCCGAUAUGAUGUGUCCAAGAUGUGGGGAGGGUGCUGAAACUAUGAAUCAUGUUUUUAGGAGUUGUCCUGUUACAAAGGUGAUAUGGGUGUUAGUUGGUUUUCCUGGGAUCUUAUUAAAUUCAAUACAGGACAUGUUCGAGUAGUUUACUUGGGUUUUCAACAACUGCUCAGUACUUCAACGCGUAUCAUUCUAUUGUGGUCUGUGGGUCUUGUGGACUGCAAGAAACAAAUUUAUGCAUGAACAUUGUGCUAAAUUGGCGGUUGACACAUCAAGGUUCAUUCAAUGAUACAUUAAAGAAAUAGAAGGCGUCAAGGAAAAGGAGGUUACCAGGAAGGUGAUCUAUGCAAAAUGGAAGCCCCCUUCAGGAAUAUGCAUCAAACUUAAUUUUGACGCAGCCUUUGAUAAGGAUUUUUUUCAAAUCUGGGACGGGGAUUGUAGCCAAAAAUGCGCAAGGGCAGGUGAUUGCAUCACGUUUAAUACUCCACUCAAACGUGGGCUCAGCAUUUGUAGCAGAAGCCCUCGCAUGUUCAUGGGCAGUUAAAACGGGGUUAGAGUUGGGGGUUACAGAAGCAAUUAUCGAAGGCGAUUCUCUAACGAUUAUCAAGAACUGCAAUAAUAUGUCCCCAGAUAAGCCUGAAAUAAGAGCUCACAUCCAGAAUAUACAGUAUCACAGUAGCAGAUUUCUCUCCAUACAGUUUAAACAUGCAAAUCGUGAAGCUAAUCAACUGGCACACAGAUUAACAGUUGAAAGUUUGAGAAAUGGAGAGGAGUUUUACCUGGAAGGAGCGGUCCCGGGCUUCGCAAGGAGAACGAUGGAGGAAGAGUGGAUUCGUGAACCAGAUUGAAGGAAUAAUGGGGAAGUGUCUUGAUCCCUAAGGAGCAGAAAUGAGAAAAAUCAUUUCUGUGAAAAUAGGAUUCCCGAGGAAUGGGGUGACUUUUGUUUAUUUUUUAAAAUCUAUUUUAUUUUCUUUUAAUGUUUAAAUUAUUUUGCUCUGAGCCGGUGAGUGCUAAGGCUCCUAAAGGAGAAAGAAAUACACCAAACAAAUUUUAUAAUUUAAAUUCAAC